rnacentral:rRNA from 1 species
CCUACGGGAGGCAGCAGUGGGGAAUAUUGCACAAUGGGCGAAAGCCUGAUGCAGCAACGCCGCGUGAAGGAAGACGGUUUUCGGAAUGUAAACUUCUGUUCUUAGUGAAGCAUAAUGACGGUAACGAAGGAGCAAGCCACGGCUAACUACGAGCCAGCAGCCGCGGGAAUACGGAGGGGGCAAGCGUUGUCCGGAAUUACUGGGUGUAAAGGGAGCGUAGGCGGGAAGCCAAGUCAGCUGUGAAAACUACGGGCGUAACCUGGAGACUGCAGUGGAAACUGGCUUUCGUGAGUGAAGGAGGGGUUGGCGGAAGGCGGGGGGUAGCGGUGAAAUGCGUAGAU